rnacentral:rRNA from 1 species
GUCUAUGGCCAUUCCACCCUGAACAAGCCUGAUCCUUUCUGAUCUCGGAAGCUAAGCAGGAUCAGGCCUAGUUAGUACUUGGAUGGGAGAUCACCUAGGAAGACCAGGUGCUGUAGGAG